GGAAAGCGCACGUAGGCGGAUUGGUCAGUUAGGUGUGAAAUCUCUGAGCUCAACUCAGAAACUGCCGUUGAUACUAUUAGUCUUGAAUAUCGAUGAGGUAGGCGGAAUAUGUCAUGUAGCGGUGAAAUGCUUAGAUAUGACAUAGAACACCGAUUGCGAAGGCAGCUUACUAAACGAUCAUUGACGCUGAGGCACGAAAGCGUGGGGAUCAAACAG
rnacentral:rRNA from 1 species